rnacentral:tRNA from 1 species
GGUUGUGGCUGAGUGGUAGAGCACUUGCCUAGCAUGCAUGAGGCACUGGGUUAGAUCCCCGGCACCA